AUAUAUAUAAUACAGGUAUUACUGUGUUAAGGAAUAUUCAGACGCCGUCCAUGCUGUUGAGAGCAACGUAAGAUGAAUAUGUCAUCUGCCCGCAUUUCUUUAAAAUAAGGCAAACACACAACAAAAAUGACAGCGGUAAGAAGACAAAGAAAGCAUCUGACAAAGACUCCUGGCAUCAUGUCGACACAUGAGAUUUGCCCUGCAGUCCAUACAGGGAUCAGAACACUAGAGAGUGAUGGAUUGGACUCUUGGAAUGAGCCACACACCGAGCCUCCAUUUCCCCGUUGGCUGCAGUGGUGUCUGACAAACAGAUGCCCUGGAGGCGUUUUAAUGCAGACUGUUGGACUUUGAGUUUUAUGUAUUAGAACAGCUGCUGCUAGGGAUCAGCCAAUCACAGAGAUGAGCAGUCACCUCCACAGACACCUCACACAGACCCCGGCAGAACCCUGCCACAGCCAAUCAGAGACAACGUGUGAUAGGUCACUACCUCAGGCACAAACACUCACACACACGCUUACAUGGUUUUCACAUUUUCACUUAUUAAUCCAAACAAGAAAUCUUAUAUCAUUAAGAACCUGCUGACGAGAAAAAUAGCAACCAAAUACUACAUAAUAAAACAAUAUAUAUUUGUCUCUAAAAAGGAUUAUAUGCAAGCAAUUCUCCAAAAAAUGUGGUGCAGUGUGAUUUAAAGCAUGCAACGAUGCACUUGGAAAGGAGUGCACAGGAAGGUUUCGUCUUUUAUAUUGAUCUAGUUGUUUACACCCACAGUUGAAGGACAAGUUACCACCUUUUCUUCUUGUCCUCUGUCAAUCCAUCCAUUUCAUUCUGAGUUUGGAUUGAUGAAUAGCUCUCCUGAGAUAAAAGAGAGUGUUGAGAUGCAGAAAUGAAAGAGAGAGUGACAAAAAAUAAGUUGAAUUUAUUCACUUGAUUGUGUUUAUAUACAAUAUCGCCAAAUCAUUUUACACAAAACAAGUAACACUCUUAAAAAUAAAGGUGCUUAAAAGGUUCUUUACAGUGAUGCCAUAGAAGAACCAUCUUUGGUUCCACAAUGAACCAUUCAGUCAAAGGUUCUUUAAAGAACCAUCUCUUUCUUACUUUUUUUAUAAUCUGAAGAACCUUCUUUCGACACAAAGAACCUUUUGUGAAACAGAAAGGUUCUUCAGAUGUUAAAGGUUCUCUAUGGAACCAUUUAGACAAAACAGUUCUUAUGUGGCAUCAUCAAGCAUCUUUAUUUUUAAGAGUGAAUGACAAGAAAAGGAAAUACACAAUAUAACUAUAACAAAUAACAAUA
ensembl:lncRNA